ensembl:snoRNA
AGCCUCCUGGUGCUUAUCACAGGCUGUGUUCCUAGAAAGGGGAGGCAGAGUAAACCUGCCCCAAUUACACCUUAGCCCAGGCUCUCUUGUGCCUAGUCCCAAUUGUAAAUGGAAGGACGUGG